rnacentral:lncRNA from 1 species
UAGAAACUGACAUCAGUUACGGGUUGCAACGAUUCAAACCCAACACACACAAAAAGAAAAACUAUUUUUAAGAAUAAGAAAUAAAUGAAGAUUCUUCACGACGCUUUAUCAAAGGGCUGCUGUGGUAUAGAACUUUCAACUCAAAAUAUAGUGUGUUAUUGCUAUCUGAAUUUUGUUCGCAACAUAAUUAGUGUUAUAUCAAAUAGAGGUAUAUAUAUUUGUUAUACGUUUUAAAACUUCAUUAAUGCAUGAUCAUAUACACCCUUCUAAGUCUUUCAAAAAAAAAAAAAAUACACCCU